AAUCGAGCCACACUCCUAACCAAUCCGAAUACCAAUGGUUCUUGUUUUUCUUCAGGCCACCAUCAAACAGGCCAUAGAUGAGGUGCCCUGUUUGAUGGUUCAAUAAAUGACUGUCUAUGAAUAAAACCAAUAAGAUAUCUGACUAAGCACAUACAAACUACGCAAAAGAAAUUAUGACAGCCAGAGUACUAAGCUUGUGCGAUAGCUAUGCCCAAAACAAAUAUAUUUGAGGACGAGACCGAAAUAAAAUACAUAAUGUUUCAGCUCUGCACUUGGGGACACAAUCCAUCCAAGUUUAGCUAACAUAUUUUCUUACUGAAUCUAACUUAAUUCAAGCAGAUACUUGGCAUGGGAGAGUAAACUACACAUACAUGACGGAGAGGGGGCGAUACUGAAGAACUCCGAUGGUGAACACCUAGUUGCUGACCGUUGUUGUGGGAGUAGAUGCAGCCCGCAUCAAACAGAAUGCCAACCACCACCGUACCCUAACAAUGAUUGCCAGUGAUGUUAAAAUAUUAUACAAGAACAGAACUUCUAUAUGAAAACAGUAAAUAAACACAUAAUUCGAGCAGAUAUAUUGGAUGGGAGAAUAAGACACAUACUCAUAAAUUGAUGGAGAGGGGGCGAUAC
rnacentral:lncRNA from 1 species